rnacentral:misc_RNA from 1 species
AACCAUAGAAACCUGCGGAGUACCUGCGGAAGGAUCAUUACAGAGUUGCAAAACUCCCCAAACCAUUGUGAACCUUACCUUCAAACGUUGCUUCGGCGGGCGGGCCACAGCGCCCCCCGGGCCCCCCCAGCGGGGGCGCCCGCCGGAGGAUACCCAAACUCUUGAUACUUUAUGGCCUCUCUGAGUCUUCUGUACUGAAUAAGUCAAAACUUUUAACAACGGAUCUCAGAUCGGAAGAGC